AACGAACGCCGGCGGCGUGGAUAAGACAUGCAAGUCGAGCGGGACAUUUCGGGUAGCAAUAUUCGGAAUGUUUAGCGGCGCAAGGGUGCGUAACACGUGGGCAAUUUGCCAUGAAGCUGGGGAUAACUCCGGGAAACCGGAGCUAAUACCGAAUGUGAACAUUUUUGGGCAUCCAGAGAUGUUUAAAGCUGGGGACCGUAAGGCCUGGCACUUCAUGAUGAGCCCGCGGCCUAUCAGCUAGUUGGCGGGGUAACGGCCCACCAAGGCUAAGACGGGUAGCUGGUCUGAGAGGACGACCAGCCACACUGGAACUGAGACACGGUCCAGACACCUACGGGUGGCAGCAGUCGAGAAUUUUUCACAAUGGGCGCAAGCCUGAUGGAGCGACGCCGCGUGGGGGAUGAAGGGCUUCGGCUCGUAAACCCCUGUCAGUUGCGAACAAAGUGUACCGGUGAACAUCCGGUGCGCUGAUAGUAGUGACAGAGGAAGGGACGGCUAACUCUGUGC
rnacentral:rRNA from 1 species